AUUGAACGCUGGCGGCAUGCCUUACACAUGCAAGUCGAACGGUAACAGGCCGCAAGGUGCUGACGAGUGGCGAACGGGUGAGUAAUACAUCAGAACGUGCCCGAUCGUGGGGGAUAACGCAGCGAAAGCUGUGCUAAUACCGCAUACGAUCUACGGAUGAAAGCGGGGGAUCGCAAGACCUCGCGCGGACGGAGCGGCCGAUGGCAGAUUAGGUAGUUGGUGGGGUAAAGGCCUACCAAGCCGACGAUCUGUAGCUGGUCUGAGAGGACGACCAGCCACACUGGGACUGAGACACGGCCCAGACUCCUACGGGAGGCAGCAGUGGGGAAUUUUGGACAAUGGGCGCAAGCCUGAUCCAGCCAUGCCGCGUGCAGGAUGAAGGCCUUCGGGUUGUAAACUGCUUUUGUACGGAACGAAAAGGUUUCUUUUAAUACAGGGAACUGAUGACGGUACCGUAAGAAUAAGCACCGGCUAACUACGUGCCAGCCGCCGCCGUAAGAC
rnacentral:rRNA from 1 species